rnacentral:rRNA from 1 species
UACGGGGGGGAGCAAGCGUUGUUCGGAUUUACUGGGCGUAAAGGGCGCGUAGGCGGCCACCGCAAGUCGACUGUGAAAUCUCCGGGCUUAACCCGGAAAGGUCAGCCGAUACUGCGGGGCUAGAGUGCAGAAGGGGCAACUGGAAUUCUCGGUGUAGCGGUGAAAUGCGUAGAGAUGCGGAGGAACACCGAUGGCGAAGGCAGCCCCCCUGGGCUGACACUGACGCUCAGGCACGAAAGCGUGGGGAGCAAACAGG